rnacentral:misc_RNA from 1 species
GAUGAGAACGUAGCGAAAUGCGAUAAGUAAUGUGAAUUGCAGAAUUCAGUGAAUCAUCGAAUCUUUGAACGCACAUUGCGCCCCCUGGUAUUCCGGGGGGCAUGCCUGUCCGAGCGUCAUUACUGCCCUCAAGCGCGGCUUGUGUGUUGGGCCUUCGCCCCCCCCGGGGGCGUGCCCGAAAGGCAGUGGCGGCGCCGUGCCCGGUCCUCGAGCGUAUGGGGCUUUGUCACCCGCUCUGGAGGCCCGGCCGGCCGCCGCCGACCCGCCCAGACCUUUAACCGGUUGACCUCGGAUCAGGCAGGGAUACCCGCUGAACUUAAGCAUAUCAAUAAGCGGAGGA